GAUGAACGCUAGCGGCAGGCCUAAUACAUGCAAGUCGAACGGGUAGUAGCAAUACUAUUAGUGGCGCACGGGUGCGCAACACGUAACUAACCUACCUAUACCUGGGGGAUAGCCCGCCGAAAGGCGGAUUAAUACCGCAUAAGGCUUGAUCUCGGAAUCGGGAUUUAGCCAAAGAUCUAUUGGAUAUAGAUGGAGUUGCGGGUCAUUAGUAGUUGGUAGGGUAACGGCUUACCAGGCGACGAUGACUAGGGGAGCUGAGAGGCUGCCCCCCACACGGCUCACUGAGGUUACGGCCCACUCCUACCGAGGAGAAGACU
rnacentral:rRNA from 1 species